GCUGCUCUUUGAGGCGGAGAUGUCUCGGUUUGACAGGCAAUGCCACAGCCAACAGAACGCAACCAAUGUGGAGGCUGAAGUACCAGGACCUGCAGGGAGGAAGAAGGAGACACCAGGGAUUCAGGAUGAAGCUGUGAUUUGAGGACUUUUCUGGAGCUCACUUGUGCAUGUGUUCGACUCCGGUCAGGAUCAUGAUGCCGUAGGUGAGUCCACUCUGAACCAGGAAGUGAAGAGCGUACCUGCAAAGACAGAGGAAAUGUGUAUAUGUUUUUUUCAAGAAGUAACACGAUAUUGUAUUUUCUCAUGUUGCAUAUCCAGAAUUGCUCAAAUACAUUCAGAGAUACAGUAACUGAUAAAAAUUCACUGCACCACCUCCGCGGCACAUUUUAGAUUCUUAAAGAAAAUUCAAAGAUUUUUUUUGAGUCACAUGAGUCUAAAUAAACUAGUUUGUGUUCAUGGCUUAAAGGACCAUUAGAGGAGCAUGUCCCCCAGUGUCCAUCCAAAGUAAUAGUCAAACAUCAGCUUAAAUUGUGAUAUUUCAGCUAAAUCACUUACUCUUUCACACGUUUCAUUCAAAAAAAUUGAAUGUUGUUAUUGGCAAGAAACUGCGGCCAAAAUCGUCAAAAUUACACAAACAACACAAGCGAGACAAAAAAAAAAACCCAAAACACAAACGGAUACACAAAACAAUGACUAAAGCGGAUCACAAAAUGAGAAAAAUAAGACCAAAAAUACAAGCUUGACAAAACGACAAAAACAUGAAACAAAUGACAAAACUCAGACAAAACAAACAAACAAAAAAAAACAAGACAAAAUAUAACAAAAAAUGAGACUCAAAGCGACAAAAGAACGAUGAGCAAUAUAAUGUUUGACUUUAUGAUUCAAACAAGUUGUCCAGAAAUUAUUUUAAAUUUAUACUUUUACAAAUUUACAAUCUGCAGUUAAGGUCUUCUCUGUAAUUUUUACUCUUUACAAAAUUGUCCCACGGGAUGGAUUGGACCCUCUGUGGGGCCAGUUUUGGCCCGCAAGCCACAUGUUUGACAUCCCUGCUCGAGGGCAUAGCGUACAUGUGGGUUUCAUCUUUUUUGUAAAGCAAAUAAUUCAAAUGUAACUUUGUUUUUUCAGGAUUUAUGGAAGAUAUUUUGAGUUCUCUCUUCUAUGGUUGUACUGUUUCCAUAAAGGUGCAGGACUUCAUAUCAUAAGGAAAAAUGAGCACACAGUGAGUAAAAAUGGUAAAAAUACCAGAAACUGCUUUGGGUUUAGGGAUCAGGAGUGGAAUCUGUCUCAGAAAUCCAGCAUCAUAGUCAGAGUCAAUCUUACCAUCCGAAGCAGAACAUAGCGAAGUAGAGUCCCAGUAGAGUCGCCACCACAUGUCUGAUGAACGGACUGGUUUUACUGGGGUGGAGGAAGAGACGAAACCAGAAGGCUGAGAUCAGAGCACAGAGCUGACACACCACAAAGUUCACCUGCAGACAGAAGCAGAGGGAGGAGAGAGAUUUGUAUGGGUCAGGUUGUAGGAGCAUCACGAAUGAUUUUGUUAAGAGCAGCAGCAGCACUUCAUGGCUGUUUUAGGCUGAACUCUGUUGACUCAGAAAGUCUCUGACGUCUCCACUGAUAAAAUUAGACCUUCAGAAGAUAUUUAUAGUUUGGUGAGCCAAGACCUGCCGUCCACAAGACAGAUUACAUCACACAAAAUUCAUCCAUCUACAGUCCAGAGGUGUCCGAGAGGAAAAGCUGAGCGCUCAGGAAAACCAUCAGGAAGCCCAGCGGUCGUCUCCAUCAGGACGCUUAAUCUGACUAGAAAAGCUAAUAGCUGCAUUUUCACACAGCUACUUUCCAAAGAACCUCUCAGUCGCCCAUUAAUGCACAUCAGGUUCACUGAAUUACAUUUAAGACUCAUUUCAGUUUUUUGAACUUUGCAGAGAUCUGCUGCCCCUCACACAAACAAGAAGACUGACACUUCCUGAUAGCCAUCCAUCUGUGGUAACUGCUGUAACUACAUAAAGAUAAUUAAUCAAUCACAUAUGGACAGGGUUAGGGGCCCCUGACCUUGUUAGGGUUAGAUUUUUAGUUUAAAAGUCACAAGGUUCAGUAAACAAAGACAAAUUGCAUUAUUCCAGAGAGACACAAAAUUAACAAAAACACCCAAAACGUCUACAGUGAAACCUGAAACGACCACAUUGAUAAACAAAACGACUGCAGACACAAAACAAACACAGAGAUACGGAAUAAACACAAAGAGAUGUCAAAACAACUACAAAAUACUGCAAAGAGACAAUAACGAAACACAAAUUGACAUCACAACUGACACACAAAACAACAACAGAAAUAUAUGAAACAAUCACAAACAAAACAGUCACAAAGAGGUGCAAAAUCAUCACAAAGAUGCAAAGCAACUCCAAAGUAACAAAAAGACACAAAAUGGCAACAAAAAGGUGCAAACUGAUGACAAAGACACAUAAACUAACCACUAAAAGACGCAAAGCAUCCACAGAGACAUGAAACAACCACAAAGUGACACAAAUUCAAAGAAAACAACCAUGAAGAGACACAAAACAAACACAAAGACAAACAAAAUUACCACAAAAAGACACAAAAGAGCGAUUAAAAGUCCUCAAAUAUGCAAAAUUACUAUCAAGAGAUACAAAUUGACAUCAAAGACAGAAAAAACAACAAUAGAAAGACAUGAAACAAUCACAGAGGCAGAACAGCCAAAACAUCAUCACAAAGACUGAAAAAAAACUACAAAGAAACAAAAAGACACAAAAUGGCAACAAAAAACUAACCACUAAAAGACACAAAACAUCUGGAAAGAGGCAUGAAACAACCUCAAAAUGACACAAAUUGACAACAAAAUACACAAAAUAACCAUAAAGAGACACAAAACAACAUAAAGACAACAAAGAGACACCAAACAACCACAAAGACAAGUAAAAUGACCACAAAGAGAGUCAAAACAACCACAGAGACACAAAUUGACAUCAAAGACACACAAAUCAACAAUAGAAAUAUAUCAAACAAUCACAGAAAAAACAGCCACGAAGACGGAAAAACUCAUCACAAAGAUAAAAAGCAAUUACAAAGAAAAAAAGACACAAAAUGACAACAAAGGGAUGCAAAAUGAAGACAAAGAGGCAUAAACUAACCACUAAAAGACACAAAACAUCUGGAAAGAGACAUGAAACAAACACAAAAUCAUCACACAGAUAAAAAGAAACUCCAAAGAAACAAACCAACAACAGAGACAUAAACCAAUCACUAAAAGACGCAAACCAUCCACAAAACAACAAAAUAGACAAAACAGCCACGAAGAGAGGCAAAACAACAAAAAGACAACAAAAAGACAGAAAACAACCACAAAGACAAACAAAAUUACCACAGAGAGACAAAAACAGCAGCAAAACACACAAAAUGACUACAGAGACACAAAUCAACCACAAGGAAAUGCAGCUUGACCUCAAAGAUGCAAAACAACCACAAAGAGACUCAAACAACCACAAAGAGACAUAAAACUAAAGCAAGAUCCACCAUUUUUCAACCACAUUUUGAUCACAAUACAGCAUUUCACUUCAAACAUGCGCAUUUUACUCCCGGACUUUAACUUAGUGGCUUUAUUCCAUGGUGUCCUGCAGUAAAGGAUGUGAGACGGGGCAGCUACUGUUGUUGUCCUGAAGUGUGAGUGCAGUGAGCUGCAGUCUGAGGGUCACACAGGUCACUGAGCUGAAAGAGUCAAUUAACGCUGCUGCUCAGUGGCCAACACAAGAUGGAUGAUGAGAGGGGGCUCUUCAUCACACUCAGAGUUUCUGCAGGAUAUUUACCGAGCAUUCCUGCGGCAUCUGUGCAGUAUUUAGGGAGAAUUUACAUAUUUGUUGCGUUCGGCAGCAUCUGAUCUGGCUGUAAACCGAGGCGGCGUGUCGAUCAUGAAUAAUGGACCGUGUGUAAACUGAGUGAUUACAGUCAGACGCUCGGUUGACGCUCAAAAUGUGCCUGUUGUCUUUAGAUGGAGUUCAUUAGAAACUGACGAAGGAGGAAAACUUCUACAUUUGGCUCAGACUAACCCAAACUGUUGGACUGAUCGAGUCUGAAGCUGCAGAGCUGGACUCCGCUUCCUGUCUACAUGUGUAAAACGGGUCUCAGUAGAAAAAUCAGUGACUGAAAAGUGGUGGUUGUUCAGCACCGCGUCAUGCCUGAGGUUUUCGUUCAACAAUCCCAACAUUCUCAUGGUGCAGAUGUAGACUGCAUGAAGACAGCUCCAGUGUGAGCUCAGUGUUUACCAGUAAAACCAGUCAACUGCAGCAUAAAGAGAUACAAAUUGACAUAGACACAAAAGACGCAAAAAUUUACUUCCAGAAGCAGCAGUGGAACAAACGGUGCGUGUCACCUGAUCCAGGACCUGGAUCUGGAUCAUCAGGAUUCAACCCAGUCACCAGAGGCCUGGCUGUCAGCCAAUCAGAGCGCAGCAGCGUCUACCUGUUACACGGCCGAUGGUAUCACCUGUGAGGAGGACGACGUGGUUUUACCGGAUGAAUGUUACUCUGUGUUUUUAUCUCAGGGAUGUUGAACUUUGAUGUUUGAAUUAUAUCAGAUGUUGAAGCCGUUUUUAUUGUCUUGUUUUCAUUUGUCUGACUGAACAGUUUCCACUAUGAGUGUGUGUUUUACUUGUAUUUAUGACUACAGGUGUGUUUAUCAGUCUGAUUUGAUUCCUCGAUCACUGAAUAAACUCCACAUUCAGGUUCAGUUUAUCUACUGGCUUUCCUAUUCGUUCCCAACUCCAUGGUUGUGAUUUUAGACUUGAUUGCUUUUCUUUUUUCUUCAAUCAUUAGAUGUAUUUUUUCCUGUUAAUAAAAGGAUUAUACCAUGCUUUUUUUAAAAUUAGAUUUAUCUCAAAAUAAGCAGUUAAUUUUAAAUCUACUUUGGUCUUUUGACAAUCAAUUGACAAAAUUAAUCAAAUUCUGUUUCACUAACUGAUUAAUAGUUAAACUUAAUCAUAAAAAUGUUCAAAUUUUGCUGCUUUGACGCUCUCAGAUAGAAGAUUUUGUUGGUUUUCUUCAUCUUGAAUGACUGUAAAUUGAAUAUUUUGUGGUUAGUUUGAACAACAUAAGACGUCUGAGGGCAUCACUUUGGCCUCUAGGACAUUGAAUUGUGGGUAUUUCUUAUUUAGGAUUCAGAUCAAUCAACAAUAAGAUUAUCAGCAGUCGCAGUCCCAGAUCAGAAUCCAAAAUCUAAAAAUGAAAAAGCAGAUGUUGACCACAGGAAUCCAGGCUGAAGAAUCAAACAAUAAUACCUGUAAUUAACCAUUAUUUCCAUCAUUGAUCUGUUUGUUGAUUAUUUGUUCAGUUUCCUGACUGACGUUUUACCAGAUCAACGCCUUAAAACAUCUGAUCUAUGGAAGCUUGUGUCACAUUGUUUCAUGUUCGUCUGCAGCUUCAUCAAGCAGCAAAGUCUUCUAGACUUUCUCGACUCAAGGGGGUUUGCAGAUGGCCUGAACACAGAACCUAACAGUCUGACGGGAUAAAAAGUAGCUCUAACAGCUGCAACAGGAGAAACUGCUGCCGUGGACAGAUUAUGAGGCAACGGGCCCCUGAGCCAGACUAGUAAAAGGCCCCCCACUAGUCCUACAAUACCGAAGGAGACACUGAAGAUCUACACACUAAGCUGUUGUGUCUCUUUGCAUCAGUUUUACCUCUUUCUGCUCAUUUUCUGUUGAUUUGUCUCUAUGCUGCUUCUCUUUCGGGCCUCUUUGUAGUGACUCGUCCAUUUUUUGUUGCUGUUUUGUGUCUCUUUCUAGCGGUUGUUUGAUCGACUUGCCAACAUGAACCGUUAACCGUCACUUCAGAGGCUCUGGACCAACACCCUGUGACUCUUUGGGCUCCGGCCCAACAGGCUGCUCAGUAAUCCACCCAUGACUCCUGCUGCUGCUGCUGAUUAGGAUCAAUAAUGUGGUUUAUUAUAUCAGCCACAGGGCAGAUCUUACUUCUAGUAGCACUGGACAGAGACUACUUUGGAUUUGUAAUAGAGUAUUUGUACACUCUUUACUGAUUAGAUUAUUGCAGAGGAGAUUAAUUCUUCAUUCUUUGUUGUGAUUGUUUGGAAUUAAUGCAUGUGUUCAGAUUGAUCAGUGAUCGGCUCAGCUAAUCAAAGCUAAUAUUUGAUCCUUCCAGGCAGAUAUUGAUGAGGUUUUCCUCCUGCUGGGACCAGACACGCCUCCCCCUCUUCCUCCUCCUCACAGAUGCUGAUGGAUGAAGCUCUCCUGUCAUCAACAUGUUUUUUUGGGACCAUUUGGAUGCUCAGGAUGCUCUGUAAGCCUCCAGCACACAUCCAGGUCUCCAUCUCCUCUAAACCAGCCGCACAAAGCCUGAACCAGCCCACACACACGGACCGAUCAUCGCCCAUCCGAGGCCUCCAUCCAUUUUCAACAAACCGCCGCUCAUACCCGCCCUGUUCAUUUGUCACACCGCCGUUUUUGUUCACGCUCCGGCCGCUUCAUGUCGCUUUUACCUCCCCCCUCCUCCCCCUCCGCUACCCAGAACCAAGCAGCCCGGUCCCCGCCCCGGAGCGCCGGAGACUCGGCCGCCGAGGCUCCGACGCUCGGCCCCCGGAGGUGAUUUCGGAGGAGACGUCCCGGCGGGUCUUACCUGGUCCAGCGGCAGGUUGGUGAUCUCGCUGACCGGCUGCAGCAGGCUGGAGCCGGUGCAGGCCGUGGUUGGGGCGUCGUCAUCUGCCAUGGCUCCGUGUCUGCGGCCGGGUCUGCUGCUUCUGUGUCCGGCUGCAGCAGCUCAGAGGCGGCGGCGGAGGCUCCGUGUUCCGCCGGCGGUCUGUCCGUGUGUCUGUGCGUCCUCCUCUUCUUCUUCCUGUUCCUCCUCCUCACCCCGUCUGUCUGUCUCCCCCUCCUCCCUCUGAUGCCCCCUCUUUCUCCUCCCCCACAUCCAUCUCUCUGGUCCCUCCUCCCUCUUUUAUUCUUCUCCUCCUCACAUCUCCAUCUGCUUUACUCCUCUGUUAUUCUUUUAUUCUCCUUCCUCCCCCCAAGCCUCCCCUUGCCUCCCUCCUUCUGUCUCUUCUUCAUGUCCUCCACCUUUCCUGCUUUCUCUCUUCUUUCCACUUCUUCUCAUUUCUCUCCAUUAUUUUAAUCCCUUUCUCCUAAUCCUUCUCCUCCACUUCCUCUUUUUCCCCACCAUGCUCUCACUUUUCCCUCCUCCACGCCACCACUCCUCUUCACUUUUUCUACUCCUUUUGUUUCAGUCUGUCCUUCAAGGUUCACUGGCAGCUCAAUGAAUAGCGAAAACAACCUGAUCCUGUAUUAAACCGGCUACAAACACAUUUUAAACACAACCCCAUUUGCUGCUUUGUGAUCUAAAAAUGUUUAAUAUCAGACUCCUUUCUUGAAUCCUUUUUCUGUAAAUGUGUGCAUCACAGUUUGUCAUAUUUUGUCUUUGCCACCAGAAAUGACUGUUUAUUAUCACAUAAAAUGAAGAAAAGCUGAAAAUGGUCACACCAGAGAAGCUUUAUUGUGGGGAGUUUUGGCAUUUUUGUGCCCUCCUUCAUCCAUCUCUCCUCCUCUUCUUCGUCUCAAACAGGACUCUUUUCUUUUAGCCUCUUGUUUGUUUAUUUAUUGCAUUGUUGUUUAUGUCUGUUAUACAUAUUCAUCUAUAAUUACUGCAGCUGAAUUGAUUAGCUGAUUAACUGAUUAGACGAAAGAUAUUUCAUUUUAAAUUAAAUGGUUAGGGAAAAAAAAUCCAAAACUGCAAUUGUAGCCUUAGUUUCUUUGAUAAUAAACUUUAAAUAUUGUGUUUUCUGAUGGUUUGUGGUUCCACUCUGGUUUUAGGAGGACAUUUUCACUGAUUUCUGAUGCUUUUUACCUUUAAAAACAAUUAUGAGAAGAAGUAACUGUCACACCAUCACCAGCCUGCUCCUGGGACUGCUGGAGCGUUGCACUGGGAUUACUGGUGCUGCACUGGAGUUUCUGCUGCAGAUCUCACUGUGACUUGCUGAUGGAGAUGAAGACACUGACUGCAUUUCUAAAUGACUGGUUGAGGUUGCUCAGUUUGGCCUCAGAGCUUUGCAGCUGUUACAGCCUGAACUUGUCUCUUUUCAGCUGGUAUUAAAAAAACCUGGACUGAAGGGCCUAAUUGAUCAGAAUUAUUUUUGUAACCCUUUGGAUCAAAAUUUCCAAUAAAAGUACAGGCCAUUUUCACCAUACACCUUGAGGAGCAUGUAAAAAUCA